CCCUUAGAUGUUCUGGGCAGCACGCGCGCUACAAUGGUCUUCGCAAACGGAUGCAUUCUCGAAGGAGAAUGCCAAUCUUGGAAUCUAUGCCUUGGUCGGGACAGUUGCUUGCAAUUUUUCGACUCGAACCAGGAAUUCCUUGUAAUCGUGAUUCAUCACAUCACGAUGAAUACGUCCCUGCCCUUUGUGCACACCGCCCGUCGCUCCUACCGAUCGAAGAGUUAGGUGAAUUGUUUUGAUCGAUAAGAUUUGACUAUGGUCAACUCUCGUUGUGAAAUUCUGUGAAUCCGACUGUUUAGAGGAAGGAAAAGUCGUAACA
rnacentral:rRNA from 1 species